GUAGCUUUAGGUUUCAAUCCACCAUUCACUAUUCCCAAACAUGAAAUCCCACUCUUUGCCUCAACCAUCAAAUUCUCACCUGAAAUUCUCCAAACAACAUCACUCCUAUCCAACACAAACUCAACAUUAACUGCUUUAUUAAUUCUCUUCGAAUCAAAACACAAUCCAAAUGGCCCCACCGCAUUCACUUGUGCUUCUUUUGGAAACUGUUUGGCAAAUACUUGAACAAAUGUCUCAAACAGAGAGUCUUGCAGAGUUGUGUAAGGAAUUGAAGUGCUUAUCAGUGUUCCUCCAAUUACACCUUCUGGAUAUGAUGAUAACAUAGAUCCACUCACUGGAACCACUGUGUGUUCAUUUAUUUGUAUCGAAGUUACAUGCAUUCGGUAUUCUCCUUCUGGAGUAAUUGUUAAUGGGGUGUAAAUUAAAUUAUUCAGAAUAUUAGGGUUAUUUUUGUAAUUACGGUUAUUACCAAAACGCAUGUUGUUUGCUGCAUCACCGAAUAUUAUUGCUCCGUUUGAUUUAGGGUAACGAGAUAGGCACGUUGUGAAUUGGUGUUUUAGUCCAAAGUGUGAAGAGAGUUGAUUUGGUAGUGAAAUAGGUGAAUGGGCCAGCCCAGCAACUCCUUGAACGUUGUUGGGUAAACCUUUUUGGGCCAAAAAGGAAGGUGCACAAGAGAAGAGGAAUUGAGGGACGGUAACCAUUGGGCCGAGUUUAGGCCCACGGGUG
rnacentral:lncRNA from 1 species